rnacentral:rRNA from 1 species
UCUGGUCUCCUCCGGGGGCCCGAGUUGUAAUUUGCAGAGGGCGCUUUGGCGUCGGCAGCGGUCUAAGUUCCUUGGAACAGGACGUCACAGAGGGUGAGAAUCCCGUACGUGGUCGCCUGCCUUCGCCGUGUAAAGCCCCUUCGACGAGUCGAGUUGUUUGGGAAUGCAGCUCUAAAUGGGAGGUAAAUUUCUUCUAAAGCUAAAUACUGGCCAGAGACCGAUAGCGCACAAGUAGAGUGAUCGAAAGAUGAAAAGCACUUUGGAAAGAGAGUCAAACAGCACGUGAAAUUGUUGAAAGGGAAGCGCUUGCCGCCAGACGUGCCCGUGGUGGUUCUCCUCCGCGGGCAGGCCAGCAUCAGUUUGGGCGAUCGGAUAAGGGACUCUGUCAUGUAUCUUCCUUCGGGAUGACCUUAUAGGGGAGUCGUAGUACGAUCAGUCCGGACUGAGGUCCGCGCAUCUGCUAGGAUGCUGGCGUAAUGGCUGUAAGCGGCCCGUCUUGAAACACGGACCAAGGAGUCUAACAUCUAUGCGAGUGUUUGGGUGUCAAGCCCGAGCGCGCAAUGAAAGUGAACGGAGGUGGGAACCCUCUCUGGGGGUGCACCAUCGACCGAUCCUGAAGUCUUCGGAUGGAUUUGAGUAAGAGCAUAGCUGUUGGGACCCGAAAGAUGGUGAACUAUGCUUGAAUAGGGUGAAGCCAGAGGAAACUCUGGUGGAGGCUCGCAGCGGUUCUGACGUGCAAAUCGAUCGUCAAAUUUGGGCAUAGGGGCGAAAGACUAAUCGAACUAUCUAGUAGCUGG